AUUGAACGCUGGCGGCAGGCCUAACACAUGCAAGUCGAACGAGUGGCGGACGGGUGAGUAAUGUCUGGGAAACUGCCUGAUGGAGGGGGAUAACUACGGGAAACGGUAGCUAAUACCGCGUACCAUCGGAUGAGCCCAAGUGGGAUUAGCUAGUUGGUGGGGUAACGGCUCACCAAGGCGACGAUCUCUAGCUGGUCUGAGAGGAUGACCAGCCAAACGGGAACGGAGAAACGGUCCAGAAUCCUACGGGAGGCAGCAGUGGGGAAUAUUGCAAAAUGGGGGCAAGCCUGAUGCAGCCAUGCCGCGUGUAUGAAGAAGGCCUUAGGGUUGUAAAGUACUUUCAGCGGGGAGGCGUUACCCGCAGAAGAAGCACCGGCUAACUCCGUGCCAGCAGCCGCGGUAAUAC
rnacentral:rRNA from 1 species